UACCUACGGGGCGCAGCAGUGGGGAAUAUUGGGCAAUGGGCGCAAGCCUGACCCAGCAACGCCGCGUGAAGGAAGAAGGCUUUCGGGUUGUAAACUUCUUUUAUGAGGGACGAAAGAAAUGACGGUACCUCAUGAAUAAGCCACGGCUAACUACGUGCCUGCAGCCGCGGUAAUACGUAGGUGGCAAGCGUUAUCCGGAUUUACUGGGUGUAAAGGGAGCGUAGGCGGGACUGCAAGUUGGGUGUCAAAUCUACCGGCUCAACCGGUAGCCGCACUCAAAACUGCAGUUCUUGAGUGAAGUAGAG
rnacentral:rRNA from 1 species